rnacentral:rRNA from 1 species
UGGGGACAGCGGCGAACGGGUGAGUAACACGUGGGUAAUCUGCCCUCGGUUCUGGGAUAGCCCGGGGAAACCCGGAUUAAUACCGGAUGGCCUCUCGAGCUCUCGAGCUCGUGAGAAAAGGUAGCUUCGGCCUCCGACCGAGGAUGAGCCCGCGGCGGAUUAGCUUGUUGGUGGGGUAAAGGCCCACCAAGGCGACGAUCCGUAGCUGGUCUGAGAGGACGAUCAGCCACACUGGGACUGAGACACGGCCCAGACUCCUACGGGAGGCAGCAGUGGGGAAUCUUGCGCAAUGGGCGAAAGCCUGACGCAGCGACGCCGCGUGCGGGAAGAAGGCCUUCGGGUUGUAAACCGCUUUCAGGAGGGACGAAGCCACUCGGGUUAAUAGCCCAGAGGGUGACGGUACCUCCAGAAGAAGCCCCGGCUAACUACGUGCCAGCAGCCGCGGUAAUACGUAGGGGGCAAGCGUUGUCCGGAUUUAUUGGGCGUAAAGAGCGUGUAGGCGGCCUAACAGGUCCGUUGUGAAAACUGGAGGCUCAACCUCCAGCUGUCGAUGGAAACCGUUUGGCUAGAGUCCGGAAGAGGAGAGUGGAAUUCCUGGUGUAGCGGUGAAAUGCGCAGAUAUCAGGAAGAACACCCGUGGCGAAGGCGGCUCUCUGGGACGGUACUGACGCUGA